GACGAACGCUGGCGGCGUGCUUAACACAUGCAAGUCGAACGGAAAGGCCCUGCUUUUGUGGGGUGCUCGAGUGGCGAACGGGUGAGUAACACGUGAGUAACCUGCCCUUGACUUUGGGAUAACUUCAGGAAACUGGGGCUAAUACCGGAUAGGAGCUCCUGCUGCAUGGUGGGGGUUGGAAAGUUUCGGCGGUUGGGGAUGGACUCGCGGCUUAUCAGCUUGUUGGUGGGGUAGUGGCUUACCAAGGCUUUGACGGGUAGCCGGCCUGAGAGGGUGACCGGCCACAUUGGGACUGAGAUACGGGCCAGACUCCUACGGGAGGAAGCAGUGGGAAAUAUUGCACAAUGGGCGGAAGCCUGAUGCAGCGACGCCGCGUGCGGGAUGACGGCCUUCGGGUUGUAAACCGCUUUCGCCUGUGACGAAGCGUGAGUGACGGUAAUGGAUAAAGAAGCACCGGCUAACUACGUG
rnacentral:rRNA from 1 species